rnacentral:rRNA from 1 species
UACGUAGGGUCCGAGCGUUGUCCGGAAUUAUUGGGCGUAAAGGGCUCGUAGGCGGUUUGUCGCGUCGGGAGUGAAAACCUACAGCUUAACUGUGGGCUUGCUUUCGAUACGGGCAGACUUGAGGCAUGCAGGGGAGAACGGAAUUCCUGGUGUAGCGGUGAAAUGCGCAGAUAUCAGGAGGAACACCGGUGGCGAAGGCGGAUCUCUGGGCCGAUACUGACGCUGAGGAGCGAAAGCGUGGGGAGCGAACAGG